UACAGAGGUCUCAACCGUUGUUCGGAUUCAUUGGGCGUAAAGGGUGCGUAGGCGGUCGCGCAAGUCGGAUGUGAAAGCCCUGGGCUCAACCUAGGAAGUGCACUCGAAACUUCGGAGCUGGAGUCCUGGAGAGGAAGGCGGAAUUCUCGGUGUAGAGGUGAAAUUCGUAGAUAUUGGGAGGAACACCAGUGGCGAAGGCGGCUCACUGGACCGGUACUGACGCUGAUGCGCGAAAGCGUGGGGAGCAAACGGG
rnacentral:rRNA from 1 species